UCUUGAAAACUGUGGAGCCUGACUUUAUACCAAGCCUGAUGAGCUGAGGGCAGCUUUUACUCGUGAGGCCUGCCAGGAAAACCUGAAAUUGCCCGCAGUGCAGCCCGAAAGAUGGAUUUGGGCCAAGAGACAGACUUCUUAAAAGCAAGUCACAGGACCAUGAGGAUGUAUUUUGAGAAGAAAGCCUUGUAGCCGUCAACAUAAUGCUACACCCAUCCCUGGCACUGCUGGGCGUGAGUGGACAGUGAUAAAUGAAGAAGGCUGUAAGAAGCAAGUGUUCACUUUAGGAAUUGAGUACAACCAGUUUAUCCUAAAGGAAGUCAGUCCUGAAUAUUCAUUGGAAGGACUGAUGCUGAAGCUGAAACUCCAAUACUUUGGCCACCUGAUGCGAAGAACUGACUCAUUGGAAAAGACCCUGAUUCUAGGAAAGAUUGAAGGCGGGAGAAGAAGGGUACGACAGAGGAUAAAAUGGUUGGAUGGCAUCACGGACUCAAUGGACAUGAGUUCGAGUUAACUCCGGGAGUUGGUGAUGGACAGGGAGGCCUGGCGUGCUGCAGUCCAUGGGAUCGCAAAGAGUCGGACACGACUGAGCGACUGAACUGAACAACAUUAUAAAGAAAACAUAUCAUGUACAAAUUAUAUGCAUUUUCUUUAGAUUUUUACUGUUCUCUAUAGAGUUGGGGUAAUUUUUUUUUAUUAUUAUUGAGGUAAUAUUGGUUAAAACUUUUGUUUCCUGUGUAUAUUAUAAUUUAUCCUCUGAAUGCACUACAGUAUGGAGCUACAGAGGUCUAAUUUCCAUUUGUCAUUAUACAGUAGGCUCCCGUUACCCAUUUUGCCCAGGCCCCACCCUUUCCCCUCUGGUAACUACCAAAUUUUUGUCUAUAUUUAUGUGUUUGUUUUGUUCUGUUUACUUUGUUUUUUAAAAGUAUUUCACAUAAGAAUGACAUCAUAUCGUGUUUGUCUUUCUCUGACUCAUUUCACUUAAAAUAAUGUCCCCACAAUCAUCCAUGUAGCCACAAGUGCCAAGAAUUCAUCUUUUUAUGUUUGAGUAGGAGAAGGCAAUGGCAUCCCACUCCAGUGCUCUUGCCUGGAGAAUCACAUGGACGGAGGAGCCUGGUGGGCUGCGGUCCACGGGGUCACUAAGAGUCGGACACGACUGAGUGACUUCACUUUCACUUUUCACUCUCAUGCAUUGGAGAAGGAAAUGGCAACCCACUCCAGUGUUCUUGCCUGGAGAAUCCCAGGGACGGGGGAGCCUGGUGGGCUGCCGUCUGUGGGGUCGCACAGAGUCGGACACGACUGAAAUGGCUUAGCAGCAGCCACUGUAUGUGUGUACUGCAUCUUUAUCCAUUCAUCCAUAAACGAGCACUCAUGUUGUUUCCGUAUCUUGGCUACUAUAAAUAAUACCUGCCCUGAUGAACAGAAGGGUGCACAUAUAUUUUCUAAUUAGAAUUUCCCUGUUCUUCAGAUAAAUACCCAGAACUGGAAUCACUGGCUCAUAUAGUAAUUCUCUUAUUAAUUUUUGAGACGUCUCCAUACUGUUUUCCGUGGUACUUGUGCCAAUUCACAUUCCCAUCAACAAUGUAUGUUUUAGGGUUCCCUUUUCUCCUGUGUCCAUUUCAACACUUAUUAUAGUUUGUCUUUCUGAUCAUAGCCAUUCUAACAGGAGUGAGGCUAUAUCUCAUUGUGGUUUUGAUUUGCAUGUCCCUAAUAAUUAGUGAUGUUAAUCAUUUUUC